GGAAGUAAAAGUCGUAACAAGGUCUCCGUUGGUGAACCAGCGGAGGGAUCAUUACAGAGUUAUCUAACUCCCAAACCCAUGUGAACUUACCAUUUGUUGCCUCGGCAGAGCCUACCCGGUAACUGUUCGGAGAAGCUACCCUGUAGCUACCCUGUAACGGCCUACCCUGUAACGCACUGCCGGUGGACUUUUAAACUCUUGUUAUUUUAUAGUAAUCUGAGCGUCUUAUUUUAAUAAGUCAAAACUUUCAACAACGGAUCUCUUGGUUCUGGCAUCGAUGAAGAACGCAGCGAAAUGCGAUACGUAAUGUGAAUUGCAGAAUUCAGUGAAUCAUCGAAUCUUUGAACGCACAUUGCGCCCAUUAGUAUUCUAGUGGGCAUGCCUGUUCGAGCGUCAUUUCAACCCUUAAGCCUAGCUUAGUGUUGGGAAUCUACAUCCGCAUAACUUGUUAUGUAGUAGUUCCUGAAAUCAAACGGCGGAUUGUAUGUAUCCUCUGAGCGUAGUAAAUCUUUUUCUCGCUUUUGUAAGGUACUGUAAUUCUAGCCGCUAAACCCCCAAUUUUUAAUGGUUGACCUCGGAUCAGGUAGGAAUACCCGCUGAACUUAAGCAUAUCAAUAAGCGGAGGA
rnacentral:rRNA from 1 species